ACUAAUUUGUGUGUCAUUUUUUAUAUUAAAAAGAAAAUUAGUUAUAAUUUUUUUAGUAUAUUAUAGGAAUAAUUCUUAUUUAUUUACUGUGUAGGAUUUCAAAUUAUUUUUGUAAAGAAUUUUAUUAGUACCUUUUGUAUCAGGGUGAAUUAAAUAAUUUAGGUAGCUUUAUUUUCCCGAAUAAAAAAGAUCAAAUAUCUUAAUAUAUUUUAAUUGUAGAACAAAUUUUAUUAAUAAGAUAUUAGUAAUUAAAUGUUAAUCGAUUUUUGUGUAUCUGGUUACUGAGGAAUUUAAUUAAAUUAAGCACCAUAAAAAUGUAAAAUUUUGGAUAUUUUGGUGUAAAUUUAUUAGGGAUAAUCUUAGUAAAUUUACUAAAAUUCAUGCAUGAUGAAGUAUACUACCUUUGAAAUUAAGAAUUUAGUUUUUAAUAAAAUUUCUUCUUUAUUUUUUAUUUUUUAAAAUUUAGUUUUUUACUUAGUUUUUUAAAUUAAUUGUGAUUUUUUAUUAAUAAUGAUUUAAUUAGUAUAGUUAAUAGAUUAACUACUAUGAACUCGACAAUUCUUAUUUCCAACUGUUUAACAAAAACAUUUUCUUUAGUUUUUAUUAAAGGUAUAUCCUGCCCUAUGGAUAAUUCUAAAUGGCUGCAGUAUUUUGACUGUACAAAGGUAGCAUAGUAAUUAGUUUCUUAAUUAGGAACUUGUAUGAAUGGAUUCAUGAGAUAUAUGUUUUAUUUAUUUAAAUAUUAAAAUUUUAAUUUUAGGUUAAAAUGCCUAAUAAAUUUCUUGGGACGAUAAGACCCUAUAGAACUUUAUAUUUAUGUUAAAAAUUUCUUUUAAAUUUUAUAUUAAAUUUUUAACUAUAAUAUUUUGCUGGGGUGGUUAGUAAAUUUUAACUUUACUUUUAUUUUUCAUGAAUAUAUGUUAUUUUUGAUCCUUAAAAAAGAUUACAAGAAUAAGUUACCUUAGGGAUAACAGCGUAAUUUUAGUGGGGAGUUCAUAUCUAUAUUAAUUUUGCGACCUCGAUGUUGAAUUAAGAAAAAUCUAAGAAGCAGAAUUCUUAGUUUUAAGUCUGUUCGACUUUUAAAUUCUUACAUGAUUUGAGUUCAAACCGGCGUGAGCCAGGUUGGUUUCUAUCUUAGAAUAUUAUUAUAAGUUAUUUAGUACGAAAGGACCAAUAACUGAUACUUAGCGUAUUUAUUACUAAAUA
rnacentral:rRNA from 1 species